rnacentral:tRNA from 1 species
GCCUGGGUGGCUCAGUCGGUUGAGCGUCUGACUUCAGCUCAGGUCAUGAUCUCACAGUUUGUGAGUUCAAGCCCCACAUCGGGCU